rnacentral:sRNA from 1 species
CUGCAGCAGCUUUUGGACUUCCAGGAGACGGCAGGCGCCAUGCUGGCCUCCCAAGAGACCAGCUCUUCGGCCACCAGCUACAGCUCUGAGUUCAGCAAGCGGCUGCUAAGCACCUAUAUCUGUAAAGUGCUGGGCAACCUGCAGUUGAACUUGCUGAGCAAGUCCAAGGUGUACGAGGACCCAGCUCUGAGCGCCAUCUUCCUGCACAACAACUACAAUUACAUCCUCAAGUCCCUGGAGAAGUCUGAACUGAUCCAGCUGGUGGCAGUGACACAGAAGACUGCUGAGCGCUCCUACCGGGAGCACAUUGAGCAGCAGAUCCAGACCUACCAGCGCAGGUGGGAGGCUGGGCCCGCCCUGCUCCUGCACGGGCCCCUGUGCCACCACGCACUCUUCCUUCUCAGCACCUCAGGACACAGAGUCGGUCACGGGGAACUCCUGUCCUCUGGACCCUAAUCCUCCACUUGGUUUCUAAUCAAACUCACGGGGUGGAGAGAGAAGCCCCCUCCUCUACCACUACCUGCUCCUAGGGGCCCACUAUG